rnacentral:lncRNA from 1 species
GGGAGGUAGUAUGUAGGGUCUGAGAGAGGGAGGUAGUAUGUAGGGUCUGAUAGAGGGAGGUAGUAUGUAGUCCCUGAUAGAGGGAGGUAGUAUGUAGGGUCUGAUAGAGGGAGGUAGUAUGUAGGGUCUGAGAGAGGGAGGUAGUAUGUAGGGUCUGAUAGAGGGAGGUAGUAUGUAGGGUCUGAGAGAGGGAGGUAGUAUGUAGGGUCUGAUAGAGGGAGGUAGUAUGUAGUCCCUGAGGGAGGUAGUAUGUAGUCCCUGAUAGAGUGAGGUAGUAUGUAGGGUCUGAUAGAUGGAGGUAGUAUGUAGGGUCUGAUAGAGGGAGGUAGUAUGUAGGGUCUGAAAGAGGGAGGUAGUAUGUAGGGUCUGAUAGAGGGAGGUAGUAUGUAGGGUCUGAUAGAGGGAGGUAGUAUGUAGUCCCUGAUAGAGGGAGGUAGUAUGUAGGGUCUGAUAUAGGGAGGUAGUAUGUAGGGUCUGAUAGAGGGAGGUAGUAUGUAGGGCCUGAUAGAGGGAGGUAGUAUGUAGGGUCUGAUAGAGGGAGGUAGUAUGUAGGGUCUGAUAGAGGGAGGUAGUAUGUAGUCCCUGAUAGAGAGAGGUAGUAUGUAGAGUCUGAUAGAGGGAGGUAGUAUGUAGGGUUGAAUAGAGGGAGGUAGUAUGUAGUCACUGAGAGAGGGAGGUAGUAUGUAGGGUCUGAUAGCGGGAGGUAGUAUGUAGGGUCUGAUAGAGGGAGGUAGUAUGUAGUCCCUGAUAGAGAGAGGUAGUAUGUAGAGUCUGAUAGAGGGAGGUAGUAUGUAGGGUCUGAUAGAGGGAGGUAGUAUGUAGGUCUGAUAGAGGGAGGUAGUAUGUAGGGUCUGAUAGAGGGAGGUAGUAUGUAGGGUCUGAUAGAGGGAGGUAGUAUGUAGGGUCUGAUAGAGGGAGGUAGUAUGUAGUCCAUGACAGAGGGAGGUAGUAUGUAGGGUCUGAUAGAGGGAGGUAGUAUGUAGGGUCUGAGAGAGGGAGGUAGUAUGUAGUCCCUGAUAGAGGGAGGUAGUAUGUAGGGUCUGAGAGAGGGAGGUAGUAUGUAGGGUCUGAGAGAGGGAGGUAGUAUGUAGGGUCUGAGAGAGGGAGGUAGUAUGUAGGGUCUGAUAGAGGGAGGUAGUAUGUAGUCCCUGACAGAUGGAGGUAGUAUGUAGUCCCUGAUAGAGGGAGGUAGUAUGUAGGGUCUGAUAGAGGGAGUUAGUAUGUAGGGUCUGAUAGAGGGAGGUAGUAUGUAGGGUCUGAGAGAGGGAGGUAGUAUGUAGGGUCUGAUAGACACUACCCUCUGCAACUGGAUCCUGGACUUCCUGACGGGCCGACCACAGGCUGUGAGGAUUGGCAACAACACCUCCUCCACACUGACUCUUAACACAGGGGGCCCCCCAGGGAUGUGUCCUUAGUCCUCUGCUGUACUUCCUGUUCACCCACGACCGAAUGGCUUUGCAGGACACCAACUCCAUCAUCAAGUUUGC